rnacentral:rRNA from 1 species
AUGGAUCAGGAGCUGAUCGAGGACCUUGAGGCCAAAGUGAAUGCUGGCAGCGUGAGAUUUCAGUCUCUCACCAAUUUGCUCAUACCAACCAUCGACAGCAAGCACAGCAUAUGCUACACCCAACCUGAGAAACUUCCAGGUAUCACACUAAGUGGCCUAAGGAAGCAUUUCUUCCAGCGCAAUUCCAAGGUGUUCAAAAGGGGCAUGUGGACACGUCGCAAGAUACAGUCGGAGUGCGGCAUGCACGCGAUACGGACAGCAAAAAAGGUUCUGGUGCUGCACACCAACAAGAACUUCGAACAGCAGAGGACCAACUGGGUGAUGCACCGGUACCACCUCGGGUACUUGGAGCAAGAGAAGGAGCGGGAGCUGGUCCUCCGCAAGAUUUUCUACCCGACGAACACUAGAGCCAGGAGUAAAAAGAUUAUAAGUCGAGCAAGUUUCAACUGGGCUGUAGACUGCCCAAGGUUGGUUUUGUUUUUAACAGGCCCAGCCUACGACAACAAUGGGGCACAAAGAUCCAGCAGGUAG